UGGCGGUGGCCAACCGCCGGCGUGGCGAACGGAGGCGAGGCCGGCAUGGGCAGGACAAGGCUGCGCCUAGCCCGGGGCUCGGCAGCUCGCAGCCGCCGCCUGAGGCCCGGCCUCCCCUCAGGUCGGCGGCACGCCUGACCGGGCCCUGGGGCCUCCGGGCGGCAGGGCCAGCGCGGCCGCGGCCCCCCCAGCGAUACCCUGGGGGCGGAGAACACCCGCCGCGGUGCCGGUGCAGCUGCGACGGAAAACCCCGCCGCCGGACCCCGCCUGGGGCCCCGGGGCCGCCCCGGUCCCACCGCCGGGCGCGGGGCGGGGCUGCGCCACCGACGGGCGGGCGGUGCCAGGGCGCAUGCGCGACUCUGCGCUGUGCGGCGGCGGCGGGAGGGGCUUGACUGGCUGUGGGGAGCCGCCGCGGGAGCCCCGAGGUAACCCCGAGGCGCCGGUGCUGCUCCGGUGCCCGCUGGCCCGGCCAUGUCCGAGGCGUAUUUCCCUGUGGGCCCCGGGCUGGGCCUGGAGGAGAACUUCCUGUCGCUGGACGACAUCCUGAUGUCGCAGGAGAAGCUGCCGGGCCGCGCCGAGAGCACCCUGCCGCGCCUGGCCUUCGCGCUGGGCCAGGGGGCCGGCACCGGCGACUCCAUCCCUGAGGGAUCGAAGCUGGAAAUACCUCUGUGGCUUGCUAAAGGUCUACACGACAGCAAAAGAAGAAUCAUUUCUGUGGAACUGCCAAAGAUUUACAAGGAAGCCUGGAGGACGGUGUUCAGCGCUGAUGCCAAUGUGGUUGAUCUGCAUAAAAUGGGGCCGUACUACUACGGAUUUGGCUCCCAGCUCCUGAAUUUUGACAAUCCAGAGAAUCCUGAGAUAGCUCAGACUAUCCUGCAGACAUUUAUUAGCCGUUUUCGUCGUAUCAUGGACUCCUCUCAGAAUGCCUACAACGAAGACACGUCAGCUCUGGUGGCUCGGCUGGAUGAAUUGGAGCGAGCCUUAUUUCAAGCUGGCCAGAAGGGGCUGAAUGACUUCCAGUGCUGGGAAAAGGGACAGGCUUCUCAAAUCACAGCUUCCAGUCUGGUCCAGAAUUAUGGAAAAAGAAAGUUCACGGAUAUGGAUGGUUAAAAGCCUGAAGAACAUGCAGCUACUGUGGCGGACACCGAGAGAUUUACAGCCUGCCUGUCGCAGAAGAGAAAGAUUAAUCAGCUUUGGGGAAGGACAGGCUCCCUGUCCAUUAAUGGAAGUUCUUCUCUAUAACAUCUUUGGAUUAGAUUAGUGCAAAUUUUAAAGGCAGAUGGCAAGAGUAUAAAAAAUAUAUCGCAUCACAUCACUGGACAGCUUUACAGCUUACUCAUACCACUCCUGAGGAUUUGCAGUUAAAGUGUUUCUAGGUGGCUAAAGGGUAUGAGAUGAUUUUCUAAAUGGGUAAUGAAUAUUUAUUAUUCUUUAUCUUCCAAAUUUAUAUUUACAAUACUGGAUCUGUUUGGAAAAAAGUGUAAUUCUUUGUAUUUCAUCUUGCCCUUCCCAUUCUAACCUCCUGGGAACAGCUGUUUCCAGGUUCCCCAUUCUUUGGACAGCCCCAACGAUGUGGAAAAAAACAUGGUACAAAUUGCAUUGAAUUUUUCCCACUUCUUAUACAUUGAGGUGGAACAGGUACUCUUUGUGAGGCAGGAAUGUUUUUCUUUGCUGACUUUUGUACACAGUGUUAGCACCCCGGUGAAAAAUACCUCCUCUUAACUCAUGUAGCAAGCGAAGUGGCUGGGCAAGUCUCACAUGCUGCCUCAUCCUCUCUCUCCCUUUCGGCCCGUGUGGGGUUGAUGCUGCACGGGGUGGAAAGUGUUCUCGUUUGAUGUGAGACACAAUGGAUGUGUCUCUAUGAUGGCUGUUAAGCUCCUCCAUGUAUUUUACAGAGGAGGCAACAGAAGGCAACAAAGAGUCUGGACUGGAUCAGAAGCAGCAACUUCGAUGGAACCUCUCCCCCAUUAUCAACCUCUGAGCCAUCUGUUUUCCCAGGAGAACUUCUGAUUACUAAAUUUGGUUAAUAGAAGGGACAGAGCAAAUGAACUGAGUUUUCUUCCUUCUGAUCUGUCUAAAUGAUCCUAACUAAAUGAUCCUAGUAAAUGUCAUUCUUGCCAGUACGAGUGAGUGGAGUUGGAACUUGUCAAACAGCACAGUGGUUUCAUCCCGUGUGGAUGCCCUUAAACCUAGAUUAUCUGAAGUCCCGUUGGAUUGGAGACAGAAGACAGAUGGUUGUCUCUGUAGGAUGUAGUUCCCAUGGUCAUCAGGAUGAUCAUCCUUUGGAAGCAGGUAUUGGACAUCUCAUGGGUGCUUCUGAGCAUCUAUAAGUGAACCUUGUGGAGUACCUAGGCAGAGGAGCCAGAUUGUAAUGAUACUGAGCGCUUCCUCUGCUGUGGGAAUCACUGGGAGGUGACAGCAAGGUCCAAAUCUUGGAGGACUUGUUACUGGACUUGCAGAUGCACCUGGAUAUUGGAUUCUUCAAACUGGAAACCUCAAGUACAAAGGGUGCAUGGCCACUCCUUGGCCAGAGGAGUGAAAGCUCUGCCUCUGGAGGUGGUGAGAGGGGACAGUGUGCUGGCUUCACAAGCACCUUGGCAUCUUUGCCUCAGCUGCCCAGGGCCAGCUGUCUUGCCACAGGAGACUAAUUGGAAGCUGUGCCUGACAAAGUAUUUCAAGUAACGUGGUCAGGAGCUACCUUUGUGCAGUCAGGCGAGUGUAGAAGUAUUUCCUGUCUGACUUAUCCCAUGUGGGUAAUAGCUGUUUGCUCAAGUUGUCGAAGAGACACUGCCAACGAAUUGAUAAGCUAUUGAUUUUAUAAAUUGCAUUUUUUUUGAAACAUGAGAUGGAUGGAGGUGAUUCCAUGUUAUCUCGACUGUUGUCGAGUGGUGGGUAGUGGGUGGAAAUUGGCUGUGUCUGUAUUCAUACCCUGCUGCUCCAAGCGCUGUAGCAUAGACUUCAUGGAGCAUGUCAAAGCUGCGUCCAGUGCUUCAGCUGCAAGGGAAGCAAGUCUAAGUCCAUCUGUGAUGAGAAGUGUUUUUGAAUUGGAAGGAUUAUUUUAAUGAGAUGGCGGUUUUGAGAUCCAGUUGGUUUAUAACCAAAAUCGUUAUUUCAGAGUGGGGAGAAAAAAAUCCCUGAAGUAGUCCUCAAUGUCACUGGCUUUUUGUAAGUAAGCAAUGUCACUUUUAGUAACCCUGAAUGUUUAGGAAUAAACACCAAUAAGACCCUUAAAAAAUUUGAUCCUGUAAUUUUAAAUUGCAGUAUUUCAUUAGUAGAUUGGAUAUUCUGUUGAUUUUUUUUUGCCUUCCCCCCCCUCCCCGCUGGCUGGAAUACUUCUUUUCUGUCCAGAAAUACAACAACAGAGUGCUGUGUACUUUUUAUGAACACAAACUGUUCUUUAUGAUUGCACUGUGGCAAGCUAUCAGUUGGAGGAGUUUGAACUUGUAUAUUUUCAGAAUGGCACAAUAAAUCCCCAUUACAGAACUAUACAAAA